rnacentral:rRNA from 1 species
UACAGAGGGUGCGAGCGUUGUCCGGAAUCACUGGGCGUAAAGGGCUCGUAGGCGGCCAACUAAGUCGGAUGUGAAAUCCCCGGGCUCAACCCGGGAACUGCGUCCGAUACUGGCAGGCUUGAAUUCGGGAGAGGGAUGCGGAAUUCCAGGUGUAGCGGUGAAAUGCGUAGAUAUCUGGAGGAACACCGGUGGCGAAGGCGGCAUCCUGGACCGAGAUUGACGCUGAGGCGCGAAAGCCAGGGGAGCAAACGGG